rnacentral:rRNA from 1 species
GAUGAACGCUGGCGGCGCGCUUAACACAUGCAAGUCGAACGGAAAGGCCACAGCUUGCUGUGGUACUCGAGUGGCGAACGGGUGAGUAACACGUGGGUGAUCUGCCCUGUACUUCGGGAUAAGCUUGGGAAACUGGGUCUAAUACCGGAUAGGAAUCACAUGUGGGUGUGUGGUUGGAAAGCUUUUGCGGUAUGGGAUGAGCUCGCGGCCUAUCAGCUUGUUGGUGGGGUAAUGGCCUACCAAGGCGUCGACGGGUAGCCGGCCUGAGAGGGUGUACGGCCACAUUGGGACUGAGAUACGGCCCAGACUCCUACGGGAGGCAGCAGUGGGGAAUAUUGCACAAUGGGCGCAAGCCUGAUGCAGCGACGCCGCGUGGGGGAUGACGGCCUUCGGGUUGUAAACUCCUUUCGUCAGGGACGAAGCGAAAGUGACGGUACCUGGAUAAGAAGCACCGGCUAACUACGUG